GUUUAAGUUUUUGAAACUGAAGUAGGUCUACACAGUAGGAACUCAUGUCAUUUCUUGUAAGUAAACCAGAGCGAAUCAGGCGGUGGGUCUCGGAAAAGUUCAUUGUUGAGGGCUUAAGAGAUUUGGAACUAUUUGGAGAGCAGCCUCCGGGUGACACUCGGAGAAAAACCAAUGAUGCGAGCUCAGAGUCAAUAGCAUCCUUCUCUAAACAGGAGGUCAUGAGUAGCUUUCUGCCAGAGGGAGGGUGUUACGAGCUGCUCACUGUGAUAGGCAAAGGAUUUGAGGACCUGAUGACUGUGAAUCUAGCAAGGUACAAACCAACAGGAGAGUACGUGACUGUACGGAGGAUUAACCUAGAAGCUUGUUCCAAUGAGAUGGUAACAUUCUUGCAGAGUUUCACCAUCUUGCCCAGGCUGGUCUCAAACUCCUGAGCUCGAGCAAUCAACUCACCUCAGCCUCCCAAAAUGCUAGGAUUACAGGGCGAGCUGCAUGUCUCCAAACUCUUCAACCAUCCCAAUAUCAUGCCAUAUCGAGCCACUUUUAUUGCAGACAAUGAGCUGUGGGUUGUCACAUCAUUCAUGGCAUACG
rnacentral:sRNA from 1 species